ncrna:Ruegeria sp. TM1040 SAM/SAH riboswitch
AUGCCGCCACAACGGCUUCCUGGCGUGGCGGAUCUCAUCCAAUGGAGCA